GUAGGUACCUCAGCCGGUGCGAUGACAACCACCUUGCAUUGUGAUAAGUUUUAAAAACUUUUUCAAAAUAACAGUCGAGUGAAGUGUAUUUAAGAUUCUGGUUUCAUCAUUCACGGAAAGGGCCUCCUUGGAGAUCACUAUAGAGAGAAAUAUUACGCCGAUAUAAUUAGAAAACAUACAAUUUGAUCGGAGUUCUUUUCGGCAAAUAGAUAUUGAGAAUGACUUCCCGCGGCACCUCACUCACUCCGGACCUCUUUCUCCAUAAAUGUCUUGCCA